rnacentral:sRNA from 1 species
UCACUUUGUGUAAAGAACACACACGUAUCGACACCUUACGCCGGGGUGCCUGGGCAGCAUUACUGCUGAACGGGUCGGUUGUAUGGGAUACGUGGAGGCCUAAC